rnacentral:tRNA from 1 species
GCACGUGUAGCUCAAUGGUAGAGCUUUCGCCUUAUACGCGACAGGUUCCUGGUUCGAGUCCAGGCACGUGCA